GUGGAGGGUGAUAGUGUGGUUGCUGACAGAAGAUAGAGAGCACUAAGGAUGCUAUGCAAAACAGACACAGAUAUGUGUUUCUAAUUGUAUUUCAUACUUUAACCUCAAAGUUGAUAUAAAAAAAGAAAGAAAGAUAGAAGAGCUAGAAGACUAUCUGCAUCUCUAUUCCUAUGUGCUCUCUAUGCUUCUGUCAUCACCUUUCUUUCUCUAUUUCUCUCUAC